ensembl:snRNA U6 U6 spliceosomal RNA
UUGCUCUGUUCGGCAGCACAUAGACUAUAAAAUUGGGACGAUGCAGAGAAGAUUAGCAUGGCCCUGUGCAAGGGUGACAUCCAAAUUCGUGACGCAUUCCAUAUUUUU